GAGGAGAGGCUGUGAGCACACAGCCAGGAAGCGUCCUUGCUGGGAACGGGAUCGCCAGCACCUGGUCCCAGACUCUACAUCUGUGAUAACAGUGAACAGGCAAUCGCAUGGCACACAGCACAGUACCGAACACUCGUUCUGCGCCACACUUAGUGGCCACUUCAUGGGCUUCAUUUCAUCACAUCCACGCAGUGCCCAGAGAACACAGGCACCAGCACUGUCUCCGCCCCACAGUCAAGGAGUUGGAGGACUGAAUCCAACUCUUGAUGUCCACAUUUGAGAAAAUGAAGUUUCAUGGCAGCAGAGCAGGGCCAGGAUGAAGGAAGGCCACCAUUAAUGAGCUGCGAUCAUACAUCGGGCCACAGUGCAGUCUAUAUUGAAGCCAGAUCUCAGUGAGCAAGAUGAGCAAGUUGGGCAAUAUCAAGCUGCCCAACCAAACCGUAUAUCCUG